UGCGUAGGCGGUGGUAUAAGUCAGAGGUGAAAGGUUCUAGCUCAACUAGAGAAUUGCCUUUGAUACUGUAUCACUUGAAUCAAGUUGAGGAUAGCGGAAUGUGACAUGUAGCGGUGAAAUGCAUAGAUAUGUCAUAGAACACCAAUUGCGAAGGCAGCUAUCUGGACUUGGAUUGACGCUGAGGCACGAAAGCGUGGGGAGCGAACAGGAUUAGAUACCCUGGUAGUCC
rnacentral:rRNA from 1 species